rnacentral:rRNA from 1 species
GUGUCAGCAGCCGCGGUAAUACGAGGGGGGCAAAUGUUGUUCGGAAUCACUGGGCGUAAAGGGAGCGUAGGCGGGCUCUUAAGUUAGGUGUUUAAUCCCGGGGCCCAACCCCGGACAGGCACCUAAAACUGGGAGUCUUGAAUAGUGGAGAGGACGGCGGAAUUGGGGGUGUAGCGGUGGAAUGCGUAGAGAUCCCCAAGAACACCAGUUGCGAAGGCGGCCGUCUGGACACAUAUUGACGCUGAGGCUCGAAAGCAUGGGGAGCAAACAGGAUUAGAUACCCUGGUAGUCC